rnacentral:misc_RNA from 1 species
GAUGAAGAACGCAGCGAAAUGCGAUAAGUAAUGCGAAUUGCAGAAUUCCAGUGAGUCAUCGAAUCUUUGAACGCACAUUGCGCCCUGUGGUAUUCCGCAGGGCAUGCCUGUUCGAGCGUCAUUUCAACCCUCAAGCCCCGCUUGGUGUUGGGCCCCGCCCGCUGUGGCCGGCCCUAAAGACAGUGGCGGCGCCGCCUGGCCCUCAGCGUAGUACAUCUCUCGCUCCAGGGUCCGGUGGCCGCCUGCCAGAACCCCCCAACUCUGUGGUUGACCUCGGAUCAGGUAGGGAUACCCGCUGAACUUAAGCAUAUCAAUAAGCGGAGGA